AGAAAAGUGUGAGCAUAUAGUAGUUUUGGGGUGUAUUUACUUUUAACCAAUUUUUCCUGCUAAUGCCUGCAGUGAAGAAGAGAUGAAAAUAGCAGCAGCUGCUUAGAUAUGGCACUUCAUGUGGUGGGAUCUGCACAACUAAGUUACCAUCGGAGGUAUGGGUAAAUGUGUUUGGAUAUCUGUCAACGUAACAUUCAAUCAUGCUGCAAAUAAUUUUUUUAAAAAAACUGGUUGACCACUGGUCUCUUUGGAAAGGCAACACAGUAAUGCUUAAAAAGCUGUGUGCCUACACCUCGCAGUUCUGGACAACUAUUCGCAGUAGGAAAAUCAUCUCAAUUGUUGUACAGAGGGCAAGUUUGAAAUAAUGGAAACAGCUUGCCCUAUCCCUCUCUUGGCUCAAGACAAUAGCCAUGGAGCAUUGUUUCGACGUGAAAGCCUUUGAAAUUAUCAAGCAAUUUCAUAACUUGAAGAGGCUGGCUAUUCGCAGGUGUAGCUGUGGCCAGGGAGUGUCUGAUUCCAUUGUUGUGACUCAUUUUAUUAUGUGUGAGAUGCACUGUGCUCCAAGAGCAGAUAUUAUUAGUGCUGUCUCAAAGACCCCAUCUGGCAUCUCUUUUAUCACGAAGGCAAUCAUCUUAACCCAAGACAGACAUUCCACAUAAUGCUUAACCGCUUGCCACAUCUGAAGCGUCGGUCUUUGAAAAUGGGAACACAACAUGGCUCUCUCACAGAUUGUUAUUUUAAUCUUGACAAAACAAUAAAUGGCUCUCCAGUUCUGCAAUAAGGACAAACAGUCUUUAGAAGAUCCGCAGGUCAGGCAACCUUGCUUGACCAGUCUGGAGCUUCUUGACUACAUGGAGCCCACCUGAUAUGAAGAGACGAUAAAGUGCCUGCCCUCCCUGCACAGCCUAUCUGUGGACUACAGAGACCUGUGCCUGUGGAUUCCAGAAAGUGCCACCUGAAAACAUGGCUGAGGGAACUCCCUCAACUGGCAGUUCUCAACAUUGCAAAAGGCCAUCCCGUCAGUGCUUAUGCACGCUCCAUUCCCGACACAGUGAUCAGUUGGACUCUGCGGUGGGUGCCGAUGGAGCUGGACGACUUGAAUACUCUAGGGAAACAGGUUCCAGGCCUCUUGCAUCAGCACUUUGAUCCAUGCAGCUAUAACGGCGACACUACAAUGUACCAGAGAGGGAGUUAUUGAGCCUCCAACAGUUGAAGCAUUUGGAGCAUUUGGCGAUCCUGGAUGCACACAGACCUAGUCCUCACCUUCUGCAGCUGAUCCACACGCUGCAGGUCCUGACCAACUACAGAGCCCAAAUCAUCCAUUCUCUGGGCCCUAGAGAUCCCACAGCCUGCUACUGUACUCACUACUAAUCAGAGGAAGUGAACCUGUGACUGUGGACAACGUUUUCAACAGCAUGUUUUCAACAUGUGAUAUGAUACGAAACUGCUUACUCAUCAUUUGAGAUACAAAAUAUUUAUUCAGUCCAAAAAUGGUUUGUUUACAACGCCAACUUGGCUGAUGCAAAAUAAGGAAACGGAUGUAUAUUAAGUAAAUACCCCUGUAAAGGUCAAAGUGGUCAACUACAGGCUAUCUGUGUAUAGAACAUGGCAACAGACAGUUGAUACAACUGGAACAGCCUAGGAAUUUCAAAUGGUAUGUGAUAUUUGUAGUUUUAAUCUGAUGUGUGUGUGCUUGAUUGAGAUGAACAGAAUAAAUGAUUGUACACGACAACAAAAUCAACAUUUUUGAUGAGACAAUACAAUUGGCAAUACAAAUGGCUGAUACUCAGUUUUGAUUAAAUAAACAUAUUGUUGGGCUCCUGAAAGCUGUCUGGUUGAACACCACUGAUAUUAAAGAGACUUUCCUGAG